AACCCACCAAAACAAACAAACAAAAAACCCCAAAACAAAAUAAAACAAAACAAAAGAUUAAUUCAGUUAUCAAGUACUAACAUGUCUCUUUCUUGACUUCCUCUGUUUCUGGCCACACUCUCUGUCUCCUUUUGUUAUUUUUGGUACUCCGUGUGUCAUUGUCACAGGUCUGCCAUUUUCUCAUUCUUUCAGAAGAUCUUUCCUCUACCUGGUGCCCUUCACAUUCACUUGAAUGUGGCAGGGCCAGUUCAGGACAGCUCUGUGCAAUUUUAACAUUUGCACCUUGAUUCUGGUGAGGACAAAACUAUAAAUUUGAAGGCACUGGUGGAAGGCAUCUACUGGAGGAAAAUGUUGAUGUUGGCAAGCCUCGUAGUGGAAGCAUGCAUGGCACGGGAACAAGGCUCUGGGAAGAGCUAUACGUGCCACAGGGUGUUUCCUUCUCCUCUGAGUGAAACUGCAAGUGAACAGUGAAUAACUACUGGGAAACCACCUAAUUACGUGCAAAUUGGGCUAAGAAACUGCACUUCCCAAAUGCUGCCCUCAUCAGAAUGGUAAAGCAUUGUGAUAGUUACUGACAAAAUACACGUAUGCAAUAUUGGAUAUUGUUCACUUCCCAAUAAAAAUUACUGGAGUAUGAUUGCCAUCUUUAAA